rnacentral:rRNA from 1 species
AGAGGAAGUAAAAGUCGUAACAAGGUUUCCGUAGGUGAACCUGCGGAAGGAUCAUAACCUAGAGUUGUAGGCUUUGCCUGCUAUCUCUUACCCAUGUCUUUUGAGUACCUUACGUUUCCUCGGUGGGUUCGCCCACCGAUUGGACAAACUUAAACCCUUUGCAGUUGAAAUCAGCGUCUGAAAAAACUUAAUAGUUACAACUUUCAACAACGGAUCUCUUGGUUCUGGCAUCGAUGAAGAACGCAGCGAAAUGCGAUAAGUAGUGUGAAUUGCAGAAUUCAGUGAAUCAUCGAAUCUUUGAACGCACAUUGCGCCCCUUGGUAUUCCAUGGGGCAUGCCUGUUCGAGCGUCAUUUGUACCUUCAAGCUCUGCUUGGUGUUGGGUGUUUGUCUCCUGUAGACUCGCCUUAAAACAAUUGGCAGCCGGCGUAUUGAUUUCGGAGCGCAGUACAUCUCGCGCUUUGCACUCAUAACGACGACAUCCAAAAGUACAUUUUUACACUCUUGACCUCGGAUCAGGUAGGGAUACCCGCUGAACUUAAGCAUAUCAAA